GACGAGGGAUCCUAGCGUUGUUCGGAAUCAUUGGGCGUAAAGCGGGUGUAGGCGGACUUAUAAGUCAGGUGUGAAAUCCCAGGGCUCAACCCUGGAAGUGCACUUGAUACUGUAAGUCUUGAGUGUGGUAGAGGCUAUUAGAAUCCUGGUGUAGUGGUGAAAUACGUAGGAUAUCAGGAGGAAUACCGGAGGCGAAGGCGGAUAGCUGGGCCAAGCACUGACGCUGGAGACCCGAAAGCGUGGGGAUCAAACAGG
rnacentral:rRNA from 1 species